rnacentral:rRNA from 1 species
UAGGGAAUAUUAGUAAUGGGCGAAAGCCUGAACUAGCAACGCCGCGUGUGCGAAGAAGGCCUUCGGGUUGUAAAGCACUUUUUGAGAGGAUGAGGAAGGACGGUACUCUCAGAAUAAGUCUCGGCUAACUACGUGCCAGCAGCCGCGGUAACACGUAGGAGGCGAACGUUAUCCGGAUUUACUGGGCGUAAAGCGCGUGUAGGUGGUUUGGUAAGUAGGGCGUGAAAGCUCCUGGCUCAACUGGGAGAGGCCGUUCUAAACUGCCGGAAUAGAGGAUGGUAGAGGGAGGUGGAAUGCCGGGGGUAGCGGUGGAAUGCGCAGAUAUCCGGAGGAACACCAGUGGCGAAAGCGGC